rnacentral:rRNA from 1 species
AUUGAACGCUGGCGGCAGGCUUAACACAUGCGAGUCGAGCGGGGAAAGGUAGCUUGCUACCUGACCUAGCGGCGGACGGGUGAGUAAUGCUUAGGAAUCUGCCAUUUAGUGGGGGACAACAUUCCGAAAGGAAUGCUAAUACCGCACACGUCCUACGGGAGAAAGCAGGGGAUCUUAGGACCUUGCGCUAAAUGAUGAGCCCAAGUCGGAUUAGCUAGUUGGUGGGUUAAAGGCGUACCAAGGCGACGAUCUGUAGCGGGUCUGAGAGGAUGAUCCGCCACACUGGGACUGAGACACGGCCCAGACUCCUACGGGAGGCAGCAGUGGGGAAUAUUGGACAAUGGGCGGAAGCCUGAUCCAGCCAUGCCGCGUGUGUGAAGAAGGCCUUUUGGUUGUAAAGCACUUUAAGCGAGGAGGAGGCUACCUAGAUUAAUACUCCAGGAUAGUGGACGUUACUCGCAGAAUAAGCACCGGCUAACUCUGUGCCAGCAGCCGCAGUAACAC